CGCUUUGCCAACCGCCAUAAAACAUCAGACGAAGAAGAAAAAGAAGCAGCUCGCAUUGCUUUCACUUUCACAGAAAUUAAUAUUAAACUAAUAUGUUUCGUUGUAGUUAACGAUCAGUUGUCGCGAAAGGACAUUUUUAUUGUUUACCAUGCUAACUUAAUACCGUUUAUGGUGUUACCGAAUAUGAACACGUUUACACAGCAACUUGCGUGUUGGAAAUGUGUCUUUAUUUAUCUGUAUACUGAUAUCAUUAUUAAGAUCGAAACUGUAUAGAUAGCUGGUGUUUGAUCACUGAAGGUAUUAAUCAUGAAGGUACCUAACUCUUCGUCGACUGUAUUUUGUAGUCUGUUUGUUUUUUCUGGACUUUUUGUUAUUGCCUACGCAAAUGUCAAUGGCGACGACGAUGAGUGGAUUGAUCCCUAUGACAUGCUAAAUUAUGACCCAACUGCAAAGCGCAUGAGAAAGCCCACAGAGCCAGCAAGUUACCCCAAUGUGCCAACCAAAAGAAGAGAGUUCAAUUCAGACUCACGUGACCCAUCACAGUUUCCUGAUGUCUCUGAAUGCAUGAAUAAACUCGAUAUGUUGCAGAAAGAGGUGGAUGAACACAAAAAGAAGGGGGCCGUCUCUCAACACCCAACAUGCUAUCCAGUAUUCAAGCGUUUCCUUUCCAAGCUUCUUAAAGAGGCGGCAAGACUUGGCCUUCCCAAUGAUGCACAUACAGUUAUGCACUAUGACGCUGAGGUGAAACUGUCCAAGCAAACGGUGUCGGAUUUCAAUAAGCUUUUAAAAGAAGACAACGACUGGACCACUGGAGCCAUGGAUGACGCCCUCAGUCAGGUUCUGGUGAAAUUUAAACAUCAUGAUCCCGAAAAAUGGAAGUGGCGGUUCGAGGACACUUUUUACGUGGAGGUGGAUACUGUCUUGAAGAUCUUAUUGUGUGUUCUUGUUGUCACCGCUGUUAUCUGCACCGAAAUGUGGUCUAUGGUGUCCUGGUUCAUCCAGUUUAAGAGAAUGUUUGCCGUCUGCUUUUUCAUUAGCUUGAUCUGGAACUGGUUUCAUCUUUAUAUGCUUGCAUUUGCCGAGCACCAGAAGAACACCGUGAAGGUGGAGAACUUCAAUGCCAAAUGUACUGGGCUGAAACAAAUGGACUGGAAGGACAGUUUGUCAGAGUGGUAUAGACGUACAUGGACACUUCAAGAUGAUCCUUGCAAACAAUACUACGAGGUGCUGCUUGUGAACCCUAUCUUACUUGUACCCCCAACUAAGGCUAUUACAGUGACCAUAACCAACUUCAUCACAGAUCCACUGAAGCACAUCGGUCAGGGCAUCAGCGAGUUCCUCAUAGCUUUGCUGAAAGAUCUGCCAGUCACUCUCCAGAUACCUGUGCUUCUUUUGAUCGGGGCAGCCAUCCUUCUUUUCGUGUACGGAAGUGCUCAUGCGGCUAUACAACAUGCAUUACCUUGGCCUCGGCUUGGUGGACGUCGGGACCCGCCGCCUCCUGCGGUAGGACAUCAGCAAGCUCCUCCAUUAAGAGAGCACGAACCCUGGGCAGGUGGAGAUGCACCACUGCCACUACAAGGGCACCAAGAGGGCAACAGGAACAAUCAAGCAGGAAACCGCGUUAACCCGGAAUUUAGGGGACGGAAUGCCAAUGCAGAAAUUAGGACCCCUCAGCCAAGAGAUAGGAACUAUCAAAGCAUGGACCUCCCACAGCGAUUUAAUCCCAGGCUCGGAGAGGCGCAAAAUGUUCGGGUCGAGAAUCUGCGCUUUGUAGGUAGCGCCUCUGGUGAGGACAACAUUGAUUUUCAACAGGGAAGACAAGAGCCAGGUCCUGAGAUAGAGGGAGGUGCAGAACCUAAAGUGGAGGAAGUCCCAAAAGAGGAAGAAAAGGAGACUAACGUUUCUACUAAAGACAAAGACACUCAGAAAGACGCUCAGAUUCAGGACAAAAGUGAUAAUGAACCCAUAAGCAAUGAGGCAUCUCAACAAAUAGAUGUGAAGACCCUGGGUGCUGAACAAGGGAAUGAUAAAGGAGCUGCUUGAGCUUUCUUUCUAAGCCUCAUUGUCAGGCAGGUUUGGAACGACAUAAAGCACUUUACGUUCACUAAAAGGAUGUGGGCUGGUCGAAAUAACAUCAACCUGCAGGUUUUUACUGGGGGAUCAGGAGACGCAACCGAAGUCCUCGGAGAGGAAAUAUAUUCAAGCUUUAAGACUCCAGUUCAAGAAACACAGCCAUAAAAUGGUGUCAAUGCUAUUACUUUCAUACAAUUGCUUAUUUAUAAAUAAAAUUUAUUUUAGUAUUCUCCCUGUCGAUAGUAAGUUUUGAGUAAAGCACUUAAGUAACUGAAUUAACAUGCAACCUUGGAGAGAAGGUUUCGACCUAAAAAAAUGUAUUGUAUAAGCAUAGGAGUGUAUUUACGAAAUCUUGCUUUGGAUAAGUUGAUAUUUGUAGUAGGAUAACUGCUGAAUUUUCAGGGGCAUUUAAUGACUUCCUGUAUGCUUUUGUGUUUGUUAUUCCCUGUAUUACACAAAAUAUGUGCCCCUGUAAUUGGUGCUACCUAUAUUUAUAGAGGUAUUGCUUACUCUUACGUUUUCUUAGUCUGGCCAUUUUGUUGUAAUUUUUUAAAAGAAACCCCAAAAUAAAAUGAUAUGCUCUCUUUUUCAAGAAGAAGAGACGUAUCUAUUGGUUUAAAUUUCUUGUAUCUAUUACCUGGAGACAUGUUU